GUCUCCGGCCAUACCACCCCGCCCGCACCGACCUCCUCUGGUGUCAGAGCUAAGCGGGGUUGGACUGCCCAGUAUGGUCUAACGUACUUCUCUGCAGGGUGCUAGCAGGCGAGGAGC
ensembl:rRNA 5S_rRNA 5S ribosomal RNA